CGACGUGAGGGAACCUGCCUUUCAGAGGGGGACAACAGUUGGAAACGACUGCUAAUACCGCAUAACAUAUGUUUGUCGCAUGGCAGAUAUAUCAAAGAUUUAUCGCUGAGAGAUGGCCUCGCGUCUGAUUAGCUAGUUGGUAGGGUAACGGCCUACCAAGGCGACGAUCAGUAGCCGGACUGAGAGGUUGGCCGGCCACAUUGGGACUGAGAUACGGCCCAGACUCCUACGGGAGGCAGCAG
rnacentral:rRNA from 1 species